rnacentral:rRNA from 1 species
UGGGGAAUUGUUCGCAAUGGGCGCAAGCCUGACGACGCAACGCCGCGUGGAGGACGAAGAUCUUCGGGUCGUAAACUCCUGUCGAGCGGGAAGAACACCCAUCCAAUGAAUAAUUGGGAGGGCUGACGGUACCGCGAAAGGAAGCCCCGGCUAACUCCGUGCCAGCAGCCGCGGUAAUACGGGGGGGGCAAGCGUUGUUCGGAAUUACUGGGCGUAAAGGGCUCGUAGGCGGCCAACUAAGUCGGAUGUGAAAUCCCCAGGCUCAACCUGGGAACUGCAUCCGAUACUGGAUGGCUUGAAUUCGGGAGAGGGAUGCAGAAUUCCAGGUGUAGCGGUGAAAUGCGUAGAUAUCUGGAGGAAUACCGGUGGCGAAGGCGGCAUCCUGGACCGACAUUGACGCUGAGGAGCGAAAGCUAGGGGAGCAAAC